GAUGAACGCUGGCGGCGUGCCUAAUACAUGCAAGUCGAGCGAACAGAUAGGGAGCUUGCUCCUUUGACGUUAGCGGCGGACGGGUGAGUAACACGUGGAUAACCUACCUAUAAGACUGGGAUAACUUCGGGAAACCGGAGCUAAUACCGGAUAACAUAUUGAACCGCAUGGUUCAAUAGUGAAAGGCGGCUUUGCUGUCCCUUAUAGAUGGAUCCGCGCCGUAUUAGCUAGUUGGUAAGGUAACGGCUUACCAAGGCAACGAUACGUAGCCGACCUGAGAGGGUGAUCGGCCACCCUGGAACUGAGACACGGUCCAGACUCCUACGGGAGGCAGCAGUAGGGAAUCUUCCGCAAUGGGCGAAAGCCUGACGGAGCAACGCCGCGUGAGUGAUGAAGGUCUUCGGAUCGUAAAACUCUGUUAUCAGGGAAGAACAAAUGUGUAAGUAACUGUGCACAUCUUGACGGUACCUGAUCAGAAAGCCACGGCUAACUACGUGCCAGCAGCCGCGGUAA
rnacentral:rRNA from 1 species